GGAUGUGAGGGCGAUCUGGCUGCGACAUCUGUCACCCCAUUGAUCGCCAGGGUUGAUCCGGCUGAUCUGGCUGGCUAGGCGGGUGUCCCUUUCCUCCCUCACCGCUCCAUGUGCGUCCCUCUCAAAGCUGCGUGCUCGGUUGAAGAGGACGAUCUUCCCCGAAUAGAGGAGGACCGAUCUUCGAUCAAGGGUAUACGAGUAGCUGUGCUCCCCUGCUAGAACCUCCAAACAAGCUCUCAAGGUCCAUUUGUAGGAGAACGUAGGGUAGUCAAGCUUCCAAGACUCCAGACACAUCCAAAUAGGAGCUGCAUGUCUGGAAUCCAGCUGCCGAUCGU
rnacentral:snRNA from 1 species